CUGAUUUUUUCUUCUGCAACAUCUAAUCUGCUAUUAACCACAGAGAUUUUUCAUCGUUGACAUCGUAGGCUUUGUCUCUCAAAAUCUGACUUACUUUUUUUAAUAUUUUCUAUGUCUCUACUUAGCACAUUUUAUCGUUCCUCUAGCUUUUUGAUCGUACAAAUACAGUUAUAAUAACUAUUUUAAUGUCCUUCUUAUCUAUUAAUUUUUUCAACUGUGUCAAUUCUGAGUCAGUUUUGAUUAAUUGAUGUUUAUCCUUAUUUUGUAUUGUACUUUUCUGCUUUUUUUUUUUUCAUGAACCAGACAUUGUGAUUCUUACACUGCUGGCUGCUGAAUAUUUUUGUAUUCCUGUCCAUUUUGUUUUUUUUUUUUUCUGGUAUGUGAUAAAUUACUUCAAAAUACUUUGGUUCUCUUUGAUCUUGCUCUUAAGCAUUGUUAGAUAGGACCAGUGGAGCAUUAAGUUCAGGGACAAUUUUCCUCCCUACUGAGGCAAAACCCUUCUGAGUAUCCUACUUGAUAAACCAUAAAUUGUGAGGUUUCCCACUCUGACUGCUAAGAAAAUGGGCAUUAUUGUAGAACCUGAUUGAGCUUUGGGUAUAUUUCCCACUAAUUCCUCUGAGUGAUUAUUUAUCAAGCGUGAGUAGUUUCCUCACUGACAUUCAUUAACCAGUAUUCAGCUAAAUACUUGCAGAGGACACCUAGCAGAUUUCCCGAGUUUUCUCUCUUUGCAGCUCUCUCCUUUCAGGUACUCCACCAUGUGAAAUGUAACUACCUUGAUCUCCCUGCUCCCUUUUCCUUAAUUCAGAGAGACUCCUAGACUCCAUGUGGCUUCUUCUGCCUGCAUCAUGGCCUGGAAACCGUCCACAUGAUAGCCUAAAUCAAUCAUAGGACUCACCAGAAAAGUGACCUGGAAGGAACAGGCGUAAACAUGGAGGAUCCAGUUGGGCUUUGCAUUUGCAUCCAGGUGGUCGCAUUUUAAAGAACUGAACCGAUGCCAAAUACAGACAGCAAUUUUUAUGGGAGAGACAAACAGAGAGAAGAAAAGGAAAACCAAAAGACAAUAAAAAGACGGGAUACAUCAGAGGAUAAAAGGAGCUCAUUUCCUGUAGAGGAACAAACUCCUUUCCUGUCUUCCUGUCUCACUCCCCCAACCAGGACAGCUCCUCUAUCUACAGCAGGCCCUAAGUCACACCUCCAUUGACCUAAUAAAAACUGGUUCCUAUCAC
rnacentral:lncRNA from 10 species